UUUUCAAAUUUAAUUUCACGAUUUUUUUACUUUCGGAACGUUUGCGCGCACAAAUUUCUUUUGGAAACUCAUCACAGUUGGCCCCUUUUUCUAUAGAAAAUUUUCAUUUCAAAAUUUACAACUGUUGUCCUAGGUAGCCUUAUACCCUUUUGUAAUACAUAAAAUCGGGGGAGGUGAGACAUUCCGCCGAUUGGAAGUUGGAAUUGCGGUGUGUUUUCGUGUCGUAUCUUGUACGGAUUUGUGAUGCAGACCUGCAGAGACACUACAGGCAUGCAGAAAUACCAGCGCUGAAGGGGUAAACAGGGAAGUAAAGAGGGGGAAUUGGAGAAGACCGAGAUCACAGAGAACACGAGACCAGAAACUUCGACCUUAUUGCCGCCAAAAAAAGCUUCUCGGGACGCGAUACCAGUCUUUUCUCAGUCCUGUGUGCCUGCAUUUCGAGCUGCGCGUGUGGCGGACUGGCGGAUUUCUCGUCUUUGGUACCUCCAGUAUUCGGCACUUAAGGGCUGCAACCCCGGCCGGGACAUCCCUCUGAAUCGACUUCGGCAUUUUCGCUUGUCGACCGUCGACCGACAAUAUCUCGCCAGAUUUGACCGAUGGUUUGCACCGGCCGCUGGAGUUUUUUACGAGCUUGUAAAUGUGCAUCUUGCCCUUUCGAAAGGAUAAUAUCCCACAUUUUCUCAUUUUGAAAUUGCUGACGACAAUAACGAUGGUGAGGCAAUUGGAAAUGACAACAUCAACAACAACCAGAACAUCAACGCCUUUAUCCUAACCGUGGCAAAUUUCAAAAAGUUUGACGCAUACGUCACCUUUGUAGCGGGUGCGACGAGAUCCCAAUACACACUGAACUGUCCUUUUGACGCACUGGACAUUGAAUUGCGGACCACCAGAAAAACCGUAAAAAGUAUUUUGAGCCCUGUCCAACCUGAUGAGCAAUCUGAGGUGUUUGAAGAGUUAAGGUACCUACUGAAAAGAGAGGAAACGAGGCGGUUCAUGGCUCGAGGGCACACCAUCAUCCCAAACUUUGUAGAUAAUAUUGUAGCAGUUUCUCAAGACCUUCGCAAUACCAUCCAUAAAUUCAAUUGGCACUUGAAUCAUAAGGCCAGAGCACUGUUAUUGCCUCGAAUGGCAUCUGGUGAUGUGACUGACCUGGAAAAUGUCCUCAUCGCUAACGUGCUUGUUGACUUCAUUCCAGAAUUGAAAGGCCCUGAGAGAGAUUGUAUUACAACAUUUGUCUACAGGGAUAACCAGAAGCAAACAUUAUUCAGUAAUGUAUGUUGUUCCAUGCCGGGACUAGUCCCACCUCCUGAAGGCAUCAAAAUGAUGUCUCCUCACUGAACUGCUUACUCCAUGCUUUACUUCUGAUGGCACAUAAAAGGUUGUAUAGAUCUUUUAACCAAUUGAUGUGGAAGUGCAAAGCAGGCCCACUCCGUGAUCUACUCUACGACCUUUACAGUAGUUCUGGAAAAUACAGCCUCGAGAUCCAAAGUCUGUGGCAACAGACUGUGGUCAAGUACCUUGGGCCUAUCAAGGAUAACGAGUGGAAUCUAGUCUCCCAGUGGGCUCUUGAAGUCUUCAGAAUGGAGACAGUACUCCAGCGAGUCGAAGAAUGCACCUCGUGCCCCAGGAAAGAAGCUUAUUUCGGCCUGCCUCCGCACGUGACUCCGGCAGAGCUGGGGCACUUCACUGGGAACUUGCUGCCCACCGAGAAUUGCCCUGAG